rnacentral:rRNA from 1 species
GAUGAGCGCUGGCUACAGGCUUAACACAUGCAAGUCGAGGGGAAACGCCGGGGAAGCUUGCUUCCCCGGGCGUCGACCGGCGCACGGGUGAGUAACGCGUAUCCAACCUGCCUCUGACUGAGGGAUAACCCGUCGAAAGUCGGCCUAAUACCUCAUGGCAUCGUCUGCGGGCAUCCAACGACGAUUAAAGAUUUCAUCGGUCAGGGAUGGGGAUGCGUCUGAUUAGCUUGUUGGCGGGGUAACGGCCCACCAAGGCUACGAUCAGUAGGGGUUCUGAGAGGAAGGUCCCCCACAUUGGAACUGAGACACGGUCCAAACUCCUACGGGAGGCAGCAGUGAGGAAUAUUGGUCAAUGGGCGGGAGCCUGAACCAGCCAAGUAGCGUGCAGGAUGACGGCCCUAUGGGUUGUAAACUGCUUUUAUGCGGGGAUAAAGUGAGGGACGUGUCCUUCAUUGCAGGUACCGAAUGAAUAAGGACCGGCUAAUUCCGUG